rnacentral:misc_RNA from 1 species
GAAAUGCGAUAAGUAAUGUGAAUUGCAGAAUUCAGUGAAUCAUCGAAUCUUUGAACGCAGCUUGCGCUCCUUGGUAUUCCUUGGAGCAUGCCUGUUUGAGUAUCAUGAAAUCUUCAAAGUAAAUCUUUUGUUAACUCAAUUGGUUUCUACUUUGGUAUUGGAGGUCUUUGCAGCUUCACACCUGCUCCUCUUUGUUCAUUAGCUGGAUCUCAGUGUUAUGCUUGGUUACACUCGGCGUGAUAAGUUAUCUAUCGCUGAGGACACUGUAAAAGGUGGCCAAGGUAAAUGCAGAUGAACCGCUUCUAAUAGUCCAUUGACUUGGACAAUACUUUUAUGAUCUGAUCUCAAAUCAGGUAGGACUACCCGCUGAACUUAAGC